rnacentral:rRNA from 1 species
CUACCCUUGACAUGUCUGGAAGGCCGCUGAGAGGUGGCUGUGCCCGAAAGGGAACCGGAACACAGGUGCUGCAUGGCUGUCGUCAGCUCGUGUCGUGAGAUGUUGGGUUAAGUCCCGCAACGAGCGCAACCCUUGUCCCUAGUUGCUACGCAAGGGCACUCUAGGGAGACUGCCGGUGACAAACCGGAGGAAGGUGGGGAUGACGUCAAGUCCUCAUGGCCCUUAUGGGUAGGGCUUCACACGUCAUACAAUGGACGGUACAGAGGGUUGCCAACCCGCGAGGGGGAGCCAAUCCCGUGAAAGCCGUUCGUAGUCCGGAUCGCAGUCUGCAACUCGACUGCGUGAAGUCGGAAUCGCUAGUAAUCGCGGAUCAUCAUGCCGCGGUGAGUACGUUCCC